rnacentral:tRNA from 1 species
GGGCAGUUACCAGAGUGGCCAAAUGGGGCGGACUGUAAAUCCGCUGUCUACGACUUCGGUGGUUCGAAUCCACCACUGCCCA